rnacentral:rRNA from 1 species
AGUGAACGCUGGCGGUAGGCCUAACACAUGCAAGUCGAACGAGUGGCGGACGGGUGAGGAAUACAUCGGAAUCUACUCUGUCGUGGGGGAUAACGUAGGGAAACUUACGCUAAUACUGCAUACGAUUGAAUGAGCCGAUGACGGAUUAGCUAGUUGGCGGGGUAAAGGCCCACCAAGGCGACGAUCCGUAGCCAGUCUGAGAGGAUGAUCAGCCACACUGGAACUGAGACACGGUCCAGACGCCUACGGGAGGCAGCAGUGGGGAAUAUUGGACAAUGGGCGCAAGCCUGAUCCAGCCAUACCGGGUGGGUGAAGAAGGCCUUCGGGUUGUAAAGCCCUUUUGUUGGGAGGCGUUACCAACAGAAUAAGCACCGGCUAACUUCGUGCCAGCAGCCGCGGUAAUUC